AGGAAAGUGUCGAUUGGGUUAAGACUGAUCUGUACAAAAGUGGCUUUUCUGUUGGACACAUUUCUAAAUACAAUGGAGAAACAAUCCUGCACAUCAUUUUUGGAAAUGGAAGAGUUAGAGGCAGAACAGGAGGAACAAUCAUGAACAUCAUUAGUUGAAAUGGGAGAGUUAGAGGCAGAACAGGUAGGGAACAUAAUUUACAUCUAAGGUUAUAUAUCACAUAUCACCAUUACAUCACAACAGUCUGCUUGAAAUGAAUCUUUUAAAAAUUAAAAAAAAUCAAGGAGAAUAACCAUAUAAAGUUCAAAGACUAAUUCCAGUUAUUAGUCCCCUACCGGUUUAUAAAACGAAAGUCAAGUGGAUUUUAGGUUUCCUCUCUGUCCGUCUCUCUGUCAAUCAGUCUGUCCCAUUGGUUUUCCAGAUAUUUUUGCAUAAUGCUUGUGAGAAUUCAUUGAA